rnacentral:rRNA from 1 species
AACGAACGCUGGCGGCAGGCUUAACACAUGCAAGUCGAGCGCCCCGCAAGGGGAGCGGCAGACGGGUGAGUAACGCGUGGGAACGUACCCUUUGCUACGGAAUAGCUCCGGGAAACUGGAAUUAAUACCGUAUGUGCCCUACGGGGGAAAGAUUUAUCGGCAAAGGAUCGGCCCGCGUUGGAUUAGCUAGUUGGUGGGGUAAUGGCCUACCAAGGCGACGAUCCAUAGCUGGUCUGAGAGGAUGAUCAGACACAUUGGGACUGAGACACGGCCCAAACGCCUACGNNNGGCAGCAGUGNGGAAUAUUGGACAAUGGGCGCAAGCCUGAUCCAGCCAUGCCGCGUGAGUGAUGAAGGCCUUAGGGUUGUAAAGCUCUUUCAGUGGNGACGAUAAUGACGGUACCCACAGAAGAAGCCCCGGCUAACUUCGUGCCAGCCGCCGCCGUAACA